rnacentral:lncRNA from 1 species
GGGUGAUAAAUAUAUGUGGGACAGUUAAUAAAUUAAAUAUUAAAUAUUAAUAUAUGUAGGUGUUAAUGUCUUCAGGUGGCGUAUUUCUUUUAUUUUAUUUAUUGUUGUAGGCGGCGCGGUUGAGGCGGGUCGCACCCGGGCUGGGGCGUGACCAAUAUUCCGCGGGCCGGGGAAUGGGAAUUUGGCCCAUAUACGGGAGGCCGGCCGGUUCAAUUAAUCCUUUUCGUUUAGAUGCAAAAAAAUAAGUCCUCUGAUUGUCCAGCCGGUCCGUUUGGUUUUUCCCGAUUCGUUUCCGAUUUUUUUUCUGUUUUUCCACGGUUGACGGUGAACCAAGUUCAAGGGCAUGGCAUGGCAUUCUUGAGGGUGUGGGUGAGCUGGCUCGUGGAUCCCGCAAUAUUCACCUCUCUUAAAUUCUCCCCUCUCGCUCUCUCACCGGCACCGUUGAUCGCCUUGCCCCUUCGCCUAUCGACCUG